AAAGUCUGNAGUAAAAGGCUAUGGCUCAACCAUAGUGUGCUCUGGAAACUNUCUGACUUGAGUGCAGAAGGGGAGAGUGGAAUNCCAUGUGUAGCGGUGAAAUGCGUAGAUAUAUGGAGGANCACCAGUGGCGAAAGCGGCUCUCUGGUCUGUCACUGACGCUGAGGCUCGAAAGCGUGGGUAGCGAACAGGAUUAGAUACCCUGGUAGUCCACGCCGUAAACGAUGAGUGCUAGGUGUUAGGCCCUUUCCGGGGCUUAGUGCCGGAGCUAACGCAAUAAGCACUCCGCCUGGGGAGUACGACCGCAAGGUUGAAACUCAAAGGAAUUGACGGGGGCCCGCACAAGCGGUGGAGCAUGUGGUUUAAUUCGAAGCAACGCGAAGAACCUUACCAGGUCUUGACAUCCCGAUGCUAUUCUUAGAGAUAGGAAGUUACUUCGGUACAUCGGAGACAGGUGGUGCAUGGUUGUCGUCAGCUCGUGUCGUGAGAUGUUGGGUUAAGUCCCGCAACGAGCGCAACCCUUAUUGUUAGUUGCCAUCAUUAAGUUGGGCACUCUAGCGAGACUGCCGGUAAUAAACCGGAGGAAGGUGGGGAUGACGUCAAAUCAUCAUGCCCCUUAUGACCUGGGCUACACACGUGCUACAAUGGUCGGUACAACGAGUUGCGAGCCGGUGACGGCAAGCUAAUCUCUGAAAGCCGAUCUCAGUUCGGAUUGGAGGCUGCAACUCGCCUCCAUGAAGUCGGAAUCGCUAGUAAUCGCGGAUCAGCACGCCGCGGUGAAUACGUUCCCGGGCCUUGUACACACCGCCCGUCACACCACGAGAGAUUGUAACACCCGAAGUCG
rnacentral:rRNA from 1 species